UGGGAACGUGCCUUUUGGUUCGGAACAACCCAGGGAAACUUGGGCUAAUACCGGAUAAGCCCUUACGGGGAAAGAUUUGUCGCCAAAAGAUCGGCCCGCGUCUGAUUAGCUAGUUGGUGGGGUAAUGGCCCACCAAGGCUACGAUCAGUAGCUGGUCUGAGAGGAUGAUCAGCCACAUUGGGACUGAGACACGGCCCAAACUCCUACGGGAGGCAG
rnacentral:rRNA from 1 species